rfam:Gossypium hirsutum cultivar TM-1 chromosome 16, whole genome shotgun sequence
AUUCCGUGAUGAGGGCACUUUCUUAAUGACUCUUUGAAUCUUUCCCAUGCCUCAUACAAGGAGUCAUCAUCCAUUUGUUGGAAAGCAGUAAUCUUAUUUCUCAGCUU